rnacentral:misc_RNA from 1 species
GGAGUUGAGGGCUUACUACUAUUCCAAGGAUGAGAAGCUUAUGGUUAAUGAUUACUACAAUCAGGGUAGUGUCUCUGCAUUGAUACAUGGCAAGAGAGGUGAAGGCAAAAUACCUCUUGACUGGGAAACCAGGUUACGAAUUGCCCUCGGGGCCGCCAGAGGAGUCGCACGCAUCCAUUCCGAAAACAGUGGGAAGCUCGUCCAUGGCAACAUAAAAUCCUCCAAUGUCUUCC